rnacentral:rRNA from 1 species
AGAUUAAGUUAUUAAGGGCGCACGGUGGAUGCCUUGGCACUAGAAGCCGAUGAAGGACGUUACUAACGACGAUAUGCUUUGGGGAGCUGUAAGUAAGCUUUGAUCCAGAGAUUUCCGAAUGGGGAAACCCAGCAUGAGUUAUGUCAUGUUAUCGAUAUGUGAAUACAUAGCAUAUCAGAAGGCACACCCGGAGAACUGAAACAUCUUAGUACCCGGAGGAAGAAAAAGAAAAUUCGAUUCCCUUAGUAGCGGCGAGCGAAACGGGAAGAGCCCAAACCAACAAGCUUGCUUGUUGGGGUUGUAGGACACUCUAUACGGAGUUACAAAGGACGACAUUAGACGAAUCAUCUGGAAAGAUGAAUCAAAGAAGGUAAUAAUCCUGUAGUCGAAAAUGUUGUCUCUCUUGAGUGGAUCCUGAGUACGACGGAACACGUGAAAUUCCGUCGGAAUCUGGGAGG